GGGCCGUUAGCUCAGUUUGGUAGAGCAGUGGACUUUUAAUCCAUUGGUCGAAGGUUCGAAUCCUUCACGGCCUA
rnacentral:tRNA from 1 species